UUCUAUGGAGAACAGCUGUGCAGGCAGGGGAUGGAGCAGAAGAAGGCCAGCUGCUGUGACAUCAUCAAGAUGCUGCCUAGCCCUGCCUCACUGCUCUUCUGAGGAAGCAGGAGACUGAGCCCUCUGACAAUGACUUGGAAAGAUACACUUGCAUGCCAUCGUAUAAGCAUUGAUAUCCCCAGUCUCCUUUAUAGGUAAUAAUGCUCUCCUGUACUCUUUAUUAGCAUUUUCAAAAGCAAGCAUUUCAGCAUUUGUCCUCCAGCUUCCUUUCCUACCACUGUUCUUUCCAACGUUAAUUUUAGUAUACAUAAAAACUUAAUGUAUUGUUCAUAGAAAGCUACUAACUUUUUCUUUUUCUUUUUUUUUUUCGGAGCUGGGGACCGAACCCUAGCAAGCGCUCUACCACUGAGCUAAAUCCCCAACCCACUACUACCUUUUUCAACCAACUGGUAUCAUCCUUUAUAAUAAGUCGGUUGGGCCACACCUUGAACUGAUGCUGGCCUAAUUAUAGGAAAAGAAAAAGCAGGUGAAUUCAUCAUCAUCAUCGUCUGAAUCUAAUCCUUAAUAUAUCAUCCUCGGGAAACGACUUAGAAAAAACUGCUUCAGGCAGUGGUGCAGACAGCAAAACUUUUACUUUCGCUUUCGUCUUAAUGAAGCUGUAGCUUCUUGUUCUAUAUUCGUUAUUACCCUGUCUGCAUUCAUGGCCUUGAACACAGUAAAAAUAACAGCCCAAAGAGACCAGGAAUUGGAAUCUUUUUGCCCUGCCUGACAGCCUUUUCCACCUUAGCUUUCACUUUGACCCAGACACCAGAAUCCCUGGAACCCUUGUCAGGGAACCAUGGAGUAUACUCUCUUGCUGUCUCUAAACACUUUUCUAAACCAGACUGAGAGACAUGACUUCCCUGCACUUUUAAAAGAUGUUUAAGCAUAGCGAGAUGAAGAGAAGAUUUAUCUUGUCCCAUUUCCUUGUAAUAAAAUAUACUUACCUUAUCUGACUGUCCUGACUUGCCUUCAGGGACCCCGUUCCGGUGCCAAAGGUCAACGUCUAGUGUGUUGGGAGCCCUGGGUCGGGUCACAUUCCUUUCUGUGUUUCCUGCUGCUCAGUGGCCAAGCCACUCCAGCAUGCGUUGAAAUGAACCAGUCUGCCACCACCACCACCACCACCAAUUUGGUUUUGUAAAUAAAGUUUUAUUGACAUCGCCAUUCUCAGCAUUUACAUCCUGUUCAGUGCUGCUUCUGGCUACAGCUGCAGGGCUUAGGAGCCACCGAGCCCCUCAGGCUCCCACAUUGAGAGCAUCAACCAUUUGCCUUGUUUGUGAAAGAGGUGGCUGACCCCUGUGCUUGAGGUGGCCUUUCCGUGACCCUUAACCCAUAGCAUAGGUCUCUGUGCCAUCCUCUCCCUUUGCGUAGUGUGUACUUCCUGGUACAUUCCUGUUAGCUCUUGACACUUCCAGAGCAUUGGGGCUUGCAAAUUGAAUUUGGAUGGCACCAGGAAUAGAGCUGAUAGCAGGGUGUGGGACAUUCCCUAUGGGGACCCUGCCCAGGGGAAUAAGCUUACUUUUCCAGCCAACUCCCUGAGCAGUUAGCCUUUGUGGUACAAGGUACUUCACGACAUGACUUGACCUCUCUGCAGUGCACCCAGUCCCCAGAUUGGCUCAGAUGUCCCCCAGAGAGGUUGUGUAAGUGAGUGUCCCCAGUAGAGGCAGCAUUCUGUGUGGUAGCAUUGCCAUGGCAUCCAGGAAAGUCAAAACCAGAGGGACAUGUCGGGCAGUUGGAAGCAGAUGUCUGCGUCCAUGGGGAGAAGGAUGGACUAGACACUCCUACAGGGGGUGAGCUGAGAAGCACUUCCUUGGCUUUUUCACAACCAUACAUCCUGCAUGCCAUGCUGUGUACCCAUGCUGUGCUGAAGCCCUAGGCUUUGAUUCUCCCACAGCUGCUGUGUCCUGGGGCCAGGGGUAGGAUUAAGCAGACUUCAGCAGGAGAAAGGGGAAAACCCUGGUUGAGGGGUGGGGAUGGCAUAGUCAUAACACUCCUGCACAUGAGGCCCCUGAUUUAGAGCUUUAUAGCAGCUGUGACAAGCCAGCUGUGGUGACAUUCAUCUGCAAUCCCAGCCCAUGGGGGGUAGAGGCAGUAGGAUCAGUUGUUUAAUUAUCCUUGGCUACACGGCAAGUUCGAGGCCAGCCUGGGCAAGUUUGUCUAUGAAAAUAAUACAAAAUGAGGUCUUGACUCUGAGCACCACAGUCUGUACCUGGCACGGUUGCCCCACCCCAGGUAAGAAACCCCUUUGUCCAGAGGCCAUAACUGCAGGAGACUCCCGGCCAAGUGUCUAUACAGCGCCCUGUUUGACUGGACUGUGCUGAGGACCAACCACACCCUCCUCAACAGGAAGGACAUGGGAGAGGCUUUUUCUGUGAGGUCCCGGGCCCUGAGACGGCCAAGAAUAAACCCUGUCCUUGGGAAAAGCCAUGGAGACUAGGAACCCACGGGAUCUCUGCAAACACCAGGGCUGGCAGAGGACUCUGAUCCUCUACAGCAGCUGCUCUCAAUCUGUGGGUUCUGCAUCAGAGCUCCUGCACACCAGACAUUUACAUUACAGUUCCUCACAGUAACAAAGUGACACUUAUGAAGUAGCUCUCCAAUAAGUUUAUGUUGGGAUGACAACGACAUGAGGAACUGAAAUAAAGAGUCACAGGAUUAGGAACAGUAAGAACCAUCUGCACUCGGUGUCUGGAAGUGUGAUAGGCUAGGCUUCACCCUCAGCGAUGCCAGCAUGUGGGCACCAAGCCUAGGUUCCACCCCAGUGCUUACUGGAUAUGUGCAGGCCUGGUUCCAUCAAGAAGUAAUAAAGGAACCCUUGGCAAAAAAAACACUGUGUACCAAACAGGUCAGGAAAACACACCCCCUAUUCUGCAACCCCUCUCAGGAUGGCUGGUCUUCCCAGGAGACCAUGGCUAUAACCAAACCUUGUCUCCCAGUGCUUGCCCAUUGGUGUCUUGGCCAUAUUCAGAUUUGAGGACUUUGAACAGAAUAGCUUCGAGCAGAUUUGCAUCAAUUACACCAACAAGCACACCUUCAAGCUGGAGCAGGUGAGAGUUGACACCUAUUCCCCAGCCCAGCCCAGCCAUCACCCUGAAUGUCAGCUGUGUCCCUCAGUAUCAGCAGGAUGGGGCCUGGGCACCAUAGGUUCCCCAGGACCUAAAGCUAUGUCCUUGAACUCAGUGCCAUGCUCAGCCCUUCCAGCCUCUUUCAACCCUUCUGGAUGCUCAACUGCUCCUGCAGCAAGGCAACAGUGUGCACAUUCUGUCACGUCAUUUGUGUGUGUCUACAGUAGGUCAGAGCCUGUCCCCUCUGUUCAUUUCUUUUGCUGUAUUUGCCUUUCUGAGGAGGCAGGACUCACAGGUAUGGGAGGCAGCCACAUGCAUAUUAUGCAGCCAUGUCUGAUUCCUCUGAGCCUCAGUCCCACUUACACACCUACCCUCCAACCUCCCUACCCCGUGUUACCCCUGGGGCUCUGUAAACCUUCCUGCUUUCUGUCUUUAUAUAACUCGUGACACUCCAGCCCUCAGUCAGUGGUGUCAUACAGUGUUAGUUUGUCUUUGCACUGCCUGGAGGUCUGACUUAGGAGAAUGGCUACCAUUCUCAUUCCUGUUCAAGGGUCAGAAUCCCAUUCCUAUGUAAGGCUGAAUAAUAUUCCAACACAUGGCUGUGCCAUGUUGAAUUUACACAGUCACCUAUGGAUUUUAUGUUUUGGCUUGUAAACACACACGUAUAAGAGUCAAGUCACACCCAAGUGGAGAAUUGCUGGAGUCCGCCAUUGCUUUCUGAACCGUCUGAGAGACCAUUCUGUCCACAGUUCAUAGAGCACCAUCUCCUCAUUGCUCACACAGCAUGAGGAGAUUAACAGGGGUUAAUUUGGCUUCUCUGGUCACAAAUGCUGCCACACUAGCCCUAGCAUCUUUCUGUAUAGCAGUGAAAUUUAGAACCCAUGAGGCUGCCAGCUUACUUGCUCAAAUAUAGAAAAUUUCUCCUUGCCUGCUUUGAGACUGAGUCUCAUGCAGCCCAGGCUGGCUUUGAUCUCACCAUUAGUUAAAAUGGCCAUGAACUCCUGGUUCUUGUGCCUCAGACUUCUCUGAGUGCUGGGUGACAGGUAUGCAUCACUCUUAAGUCCUGCCACUGGGACAAGAGUGAGCAGAGCCAGCUCUGAAGCACACACUUUGCUGGUGUCAGUGAUGACUGACUUAUGAUCCUGUCUUCCUUGCCCAUGGCCCUUCUCCUUGGUGCAUGCCAUCCUUCCUCCCUGUGACUCAUGGGGACACCAAGCCUGAGGAUGUUAGGAAGAAGUUUACUUACUUCACUGGGUUGGAGGCUGUUAGGUUCCUGCGUCAGUAGGUGAGAUUCAAGCUAGAAGGUUUGUGGCAUGAGAAACGGGAACAGAACUGGCAUGGCAGGAACAAUCGUCGCCUGGCUCUGAGAAGACCAGGUGGGCAGAAAUUCAUCGUUGGGCAGGUAGUGAGCUCAAGACCAGGCUGGGCAUUGCUCAGCGCAUGUGAACAGGUGUGCUUACAUGGAUACGUGUUUCCCCCGUAUGGUCACCACUUAUCCAGGUAUCAUAGACUGUCCAAGGAGCUUUUUAUGUUUUAACAUUGUGCGUGUUUGUGUGUCCAUACAUACAUAUACGCACAUAUAUUCGUACACAUACACAAAAAUGCAUACAUGUAAACACACACAUACACAUGCCUACACACGUACAUGUAUACACACAUACACACAAACACAUAUACACAUACAUGCACACACAUACACACAUACAUACAUACACAUACAUAUACAAACAUACAAACAGACCUACACGCACAUACAGACAGACAUAUACACAUAUACAUGCAUACACAUACAUGCAAACACACAUUCAUAUACACACAUACAUACAGACAUAUACACACACACAUUAGUACACAUACAUAAACAGGCACACAUGCAAACACACCAAUACAUAUGCAUACACACAUGCAUGUGCACACACACAUACACAUAUAUGGAGACAUACAUGCAUACACACAUACACAUGCAUAUACACAUACACAUGCAUACACACAUACACAUAUACACAUACACACAUACACACAUAAACACACAUACAUACACACAUACACACCUACACAUACAUAUACACACAUGCAAGCAGAACUAUACACACAUACAGACAGACAUAUACACACAUACACAUAUACAUGCAUACACAUACAUGCAUACACACAUUCAUAUACACACAUACAUACAGACAUAUACAUACAUACACACAUACAUGUAAACCCAUGAGUGGAAGUCAGAGGACAGCUUGGCCCUUGGUUCUCUCCUUUUUACCACGUGGGUCCUGGAUAUUGAGUCAAGGUCAUCAGACUUGACAGCAAGCCCCUUUAACUGUAGAGCCCUCCUGUUGGCUUCCAAUCACCUCUUUCCACAAAUUCUGUCCAUGGUGGAAUGUUUACAGUUGUUAUUCUCAUGAUUCCUUCAGCAAUAGUGCAGUCAUCAUUUAUACUGCAUUAGGACUUAUAAUUCAUGUAGAUGUCAGGAGAGCUGGAGGCGUGGAUCAAGAAGAGAGCCCUUGCCUAGAAUCUCCAAUGAGGGAAUGGGGGUGUCUCAGUGGUGGUGCCCCUGCUGAUCUUGUGCAAGGCCCUCAGUUCAACCACACUGUGUGCAGGGAACUCCUUUCUGAAGCCAGGUCAGUGAGUGCCCUCCUUAACCUUCACCUUUCAGGAGAAGUACCAGGGUGAGGGCAUCUCGUGGCACAACACUGACUACACCGACAAUGUGGGCUGUACCCACCUCAUCAGCAUGAAGCCCACUGGCAUCUUCUACCUGCUGGACGAGGAGAGGAAGUGAGUGUCCCUGCCCUGUCUGUCUGCCACAUGCCAGUGUGGGGACAAGUCAGGUUCCCUGAGCUGCUCAGCUUCUCACACUCAUCUUCUGAGUCCCUAGGCAUCACUUCUACCCAGGACUUGUCCAGCAGGCUCUGUAAACAGCAGGCAAAGGGCUCCCCUGUGCUAGCUUCACACAUCUUCAUGGGAGGCCCAGCAAAAGCAGCUCAGAGCAGGGCUAGGGCUGUGCAGAGCCAGCAGUGUGUGCUGUGGGGUGAAGGGAGGGAGGCCUCUCAGUCACCCAGGUGCCUUUGCAGAAAUCAGGUGGCUUUGACUUUGUUGCUACUGUGAUGACAAGUCUAUUCCCUCUCCUGGUCCUGGAGACUGUCAGAGACUUAGUGUCCCACUUCCUGACAGACUCCUCUAGAAACAAAAGGAGAGACCUGAGGAGCUUCCCUGUCCAUGGUGCUUUCCCUGUGCCGAGGCAGGAGGCUGCUCACCAUGCAGAGGCCAAGAAGUAGAGAGGCAGGUGAAGCUUCUGCCUGCUGUGGCCAAAGCCCUAGGCUGCAUCCCUAGCACUGAAUAAUGGACCUGUUCCUCUAGCACCUGGGAGAUGGAGACAGGAGGAUAGGGAGUCCAAGGUCAUUCUUGGGUACAUCUUACAUCAAGGCCAACCUGGGCUACAUAAGACCCCGUGUUAAAAACAGAAGCCAAGAGCAGGGGUAGAGUCUGAGGAUCCCCUGCAGCUUUUUAUCCUCAGAAUCCUGACUCCUCCCACAAGGCCCAACCCCUGAGAGUCCUAGCAUCCUGCUGCAGACCCUGUAUGUACCUCAGGCCAAAUCUCCACCCAGUGAGGCAGAGCUCAGACAGGAGAGGAGGAGGCAGCUCUUGACUGGCAGUUGCAUGAGCUUGGCUCUGUCUGAGAAAAGCAGCUAGGAGCAGGAUGCCACUACAGGACAUGUGACAAGGCAGUCAUGUGUCAGGCUGGGUGCAUUUGUUAGGUGUGGUGUGUUGUUGGGUGGCAGGUAUGCACUGUGCAUGCAGAAGCUGAGAAACCUCUUUGUGACUUGUUUCCUCCAGUCAUAUGCUCCCUGCGACUCAGGUCAUCAAGCUUGGCCACAAGUACCCUCACCUGCUCAGCUGUCUCCCUGGCUCUAACUUGAAUCCUGAAAGAGCCAUGCUAACAUUACUGCAACAUUUUCUUCUUUUCUAUUCUUUUGUUUUUGUCCUUAGACAGUGAAUGCCGCAACACCCAGACCUUCUUCCCAGCCUGAAUGGUUAUAUCUCCACUUCCAGACAGACCUCCUCCCCCAUGUAGCUGUAGAUUCCCCCAGGGCCGGGCAUCUUCCACACAUCUGGCUCUGCCUAUAUUUAGAGUGAGUUCAGGACCAACAAGGUGUGCCAAAACCCAGGGAGGUGUUGCUGUCCCUGGAGACAAAAUAGCCAGGUACAAGGAACCUCUUGCUCGCUCCAUCUGCCUCCCUCCAGGGGCAGAACAGAGCCUGGCUUCACCCGUUAGGCCAUGCUCACACUCCCUGUGGGGAGAAGGAGCCUGACACCACAGCUCCAAGACACUGGUCCAGGUACACAUGGAUCCAAAGCCAGAGGCUCCAGUACGGGAUCUGAGAUGCUGCAUGGGAGAUCAAUAGAAGCCAGCAAAUCUGCUCAACAGUGGAGAGGAGAGCAAAGACAGUCUAUUGGGGUAUAUGAGGGGCCAGGAAGCCCAAUGAUUGGUUAACCCUGUAGUCCCACAUUGGCCACAUUGAUAUGUCCAGGACAUGGUGAGAAGCUGUCAAUGGGCCAGCUUGGUAGCUCAGUCAGAUUAUGAUGACUGCCACCAAGCCUGAACAUCUGAGCUCAAUCCCCAGGGUCCACAAGAUGCAUGGAGAAAACCAACCCUUGCAGGCUAUCUGACCUCCACACAUGACUGAACCGUGUGUGUGUGUGUGUGUGUGUGUGUGUGUGUUCUGCCUGCAUAUGUGCCUGGUGCCCACAAAUGUCAUAGGAGGGUCUGAUUCCUUGGAACCGGAGUUACCCUGGUUGUGAGGUGUCAUUUGGACACUGGAGAACAGCUAAUGCUCUUCAUGGCUGAGUUAUCUCAACAGGCCUCCACCUUGAUUUUUGAGAUUAGGUUUCUCAGCAGAUCUGAAACUCAUAUUCUGUGGCUAGGCUUGUCUGCCAGCAAGGUCCCUGCAUCUUCUGUCUCUGUAUGCCAUACCUGUCUUUUACACGGUUCUGUCCUCACACAUGCACAGCAGGUACUACCCACUGAACCAUCUUGCCUUUUCUCUAUGCUUAUUUUGUAAAUGGCCAUGCGUCCUUCACAGCGCUCUGCUCUUUGUUCAAAGAUGUUGCAAGGGGUGAAUGUGGAUUCCUAGGCCCACUUGGCUUCUCAGCUCUGCUCUUGGGGUCCCUGAACUUAACAGGACUCUCAGGGACUCGCAAGAUGGCUGAGUAAGUACAGGCUAAGGCCCUGAGUUUGAUUCCCUAGAUUCACAUGGUAGGAGAGAACCCACUCUAGCAACGUGACUUUCACAUGUGACCUUCACACCUGUGCUGGGGCAUGCACAACAGUACCUUAUAGCCACAAUUAGUAUCUUGUCACCCUAGCCCAAAGUUGAGCUGCAGAGGACUACUAGUGCCUUGGGGUGGGUCACUCUGCAACUAUGUCACCUGUAGCCAGGCCCUGCAUGAGAAAAGAACUAGCCCUACUCUGCUGUCUACAGAAGGCUGAAGAUUGCAGGGAGGGUGUGAGGAUCAGCUUGUCCUUACUUGGGACCUGGGGUCUCUAGAGCAGUGGGCACAGCACCUCUUCCUGGCUAGCAGAGCUGGGUUCCAGCUCUGUGGAUGACAGAUAUCCUAGGCUGCAGCAGUCUUGGGCUUUGGCCUUUCAAGUGUGUGGCCCCCAGAUCUAUUAAGAGUGCCCCCAGAUCUGCUAGAAUACAGCAUCUUCCAGAUGCCAGGAGAGAUGGUCUCAGGUGAGGGGUCUGCAAGUGCCCAAGCCGAUAGCAUUAGGUCAUGGUGCAGUGUGAGCAGCUUCUGCUGGGCAGACCACACACCAGCUUAUUCUAGGCCCAGCACACAGAGUGCAUGCACUGGGACGGCUGUGGCUCAGCUUGGGACAGUCUCUGAGGACGACAACUAAAUGGAAAUGGCAACUCACAAACCCAGAGAUUGAGACCAGUCUGUAGUUCCAUAGCCAGGACUUGCUCUGAAGUGUGGAAGUCUUGAGUAUGUGCCUAUGGGGACUUUGGGGACCACUGUGUCCCUACCACAGAUCGAACCUUGAAAACUGUGGAAAGACCUGAACAAAUCUGCCCAGAAACUGAGCAACACCCCAACACCAGAGGUGCCACCCUGCUCUAUUCUGAGCUGCCUCAACUGUGCACAGCAGGUCUCACCCCUCCCCAUAUCCCCUCCCCCACUCCUCUUUGCCUUGCUUCCUGCCUAUGUCUUCUGACCUUGACUCUUCUGCCCUUUGCCCCUGGUCUGAUCUCAAGGGCAAAUGCUUCCUGGAAUCAGAAGGGUUAUGUCCUGGUUGUGGAAGAUUGGGCAGCAAUGGUGGGUUCUACAAACUAAGGAGGAACUGUGCUCCACCUCCCUGCAUGUGAGCCCUGAGCACAGACCCCGGGUAAGGGCUGUGCACUCAUGACCUAGGCCUUAAGAGACCAAAGGUAUCAGCUGAUAGUGGACAGUGAGUAGACAUGUAAACAACCUGGAGUUGGUAUGUAGGUCCAGGACAGAGUGCUGGGGGUUGCACUGAUGCAUGCGUAUACAUGAGCAGACACACACACACACACACACACACACACACACACACACACACACACACCAGUCUGCUGUGUUUAUUGGAAAGCACUUAAUUCAUACCAGAAACCCCUAGUCUGCCAACACCAGCCAGAACAGUCUUUGUGAGAGCAGAGGGCCUUGUUUGGUGCACACCUACAGAGCCACCUUGUAUUUGUGGUGGUAUUGGUCAACUGUUGGGUCAUGGUGAACUUGGAACUGGUUCUCACUUGGGGGAUGUAACUAUUAACUGUGAUAAGCCCAAAGACCAAAGCAACACAGGAGGGAAACAUUUAUUUUUGGUCAUAGUCAUUUGGAAUAGACGCUGGGAAUCUAACCCUGGUGCUCUGUUAGAGCAUCAAGCCCUCUUAAGUGUGGAGACAUCUCUCCAGCCUUUUGAUGAGAAGUUUUCCUAUGUAGCCAGGAUGGCCUUGAACCCCCUGUACCAGGUGGGACAAGUGACCCUCGCUGUCUAGGUUUGGAUGCCACCUCCAGUACAAGCCACCACCCACAGUCGCCCCUCAGCUACAUUCUAAGGAUGGUGCUUCAAGCCACACACUGCAGAGACUGUGUGGCCUAGGCCAAGUGUUGCAGUUCGCUGAGCCAGUCAUGAAGAGCCCAGGCCCAGAAGUGAGCCACCUCCCCUGUAGAAACAGCUUGAUCAGUUUUGCUGAGUGACUAUACAACCUUUACAGGUACCAGCCACGGCAGGCUGCCUUCCCUCCUCCUAAAACUCCCAAAUGCUGGGAUUGAAGGCCUGAGACAUCAAGCCCUGCCCUGUCAGUGUGCUGGAUGUUUGAGGAAAUUAAAAUAAGAAAGACUGCCUGUAUGUUUGAUUCAAAUAGAACUUGUUUUCUCAGUUCUUUGGAUUAAACAUAGGAAUGUGUGUUGUAGACUGAUAUAGACUAGGAUGAGCAGAACACAUGACAGCAUGGAUACAGUAUGGCAGUGAUUACAUCAUAAAGUGUGUGUCCAUAAAAAAGUCACAUUAUCCACACAAAAGACACUAUCACCCUGUGUACACCUUGGUGGCUUUGCAUUCACUAUUUACCCAUGCUCCCUGGACCAUGCAAAGAUCCAUAUCUAGCUGACAGUUCUAAGUAUACAGGAAGGGAAAGGACCCUUGAAUAAUGAAGAUGGUCUUAAGAGUCAAGAGUUACAAAUCAAUUUUUAUUCAUAAGAAAUACAAUUUACAAAAAACAGGCAUAAAAUGAACAAUUAAAAUGGUAUCAAAAAUGAAAAACAGUAACAUGAAUAUAUAACAAUGAAACAACAACAACAAAACUUCAAUGAAAAUCAUAACCAAAAGUAUUUCUUAACAGCAUUUUCUUAAUGAACAUUUAGAAACACAGUUGUAGUGCUGUUUCUCCUCUAGGACACGAGAUGUCAAGGCAGUCUCCUCAGUUGUCUCUCAAAUGGUGUUGUCGGUAUGAGAAAGGAGAAAGACCUCAAUCAGACAGGCCGGCAUACGGAUACAUAAAUUUAGGGUCUCCAAACAUUGAGGAAAUUAACUGAGAAGAGGAAUAUUCACCCAAAAAAGUCUUUGACUGUUGAGGAUUGUCAUCAGCAGGGAACUCCUGAGAAAGAAACUCAUUCUUCAGGGGGCUGUCUUCCUGGGAUACGUCCUAUGCCAUCUCUCCUGCAGUUUCUGAGACCUGGGAGAAGAAGGCAGCUAUUAAGACACUGAUUUGGUGUGGACAGGCAUACCAGCUGUCAAGUUGCUGCCUUCUGUCCCUUCAGCUGCAUUGGACAGACAGCACUGAUCUUUUCACUGAAAUCAUUGCUGAUAUCUCUGCAGGUUGGGGAAAAUCACCAGCAACCCUCACAGUACUGUGGGAUAACAAGCUGCUCCUCAGACUCUACCAGUGCAAACCAAGAACGGGGAAAUGGGAAGAGACCUACUUGGGUUGCAGGAAGAAAGGAGAAGGCCACAUGAUACCCAGAUCAAAGCCAAUGACCAGGACUCAUUUGCCAUUUGCACUUGGUUCUUAUCCCUGCAAGGUGCUUCCAACCAUCACAUAACCCCUGUAUGACCUUUGUCACACCACCAAGAACUUGUUCCAAACUCCUCAUAGCACCCAAUCUGUGACAGGGAGAUGCAGUAAUGUGAUAUGUUAUUCCUCUGUCACCAUUUCUGGACUGCAGUUUCAAAAAGGGCAGAAAAGUAUACUUGCCCAUAAUUCAGUUUCUGAAAAGUGGUUAACAUCCCAGAAUACUUGUGCAUAGACAGAGCAAUGAAUAACUCUAUCACACGAGGUGGGUGAUUGAUUGGGUGUGGGGAGAUUAGAAAGAUGAUAGGGGAAAGCAAAGAUGUAUCCAAUAGGCAAAUGGUAUCAGACAUUGUUAAUCUGACUCAGCUGCUUGUUCCUACCAAAUUUUGCUGGGUCUGGAGGUUGCUGGUCUUCUCCUGUUUGUCUUUAUCAUUUCGGUUGACGUCAAACAAAUAUCGCUGUACCUCCUUGCUCUCCUGCUUCAAUGUGACCAACUUCUUCUUCAUACAUGCCUGCUCCAUCAGGAGCCGGCUGUGCAGGUUGCUGGAAACACACUCCGCAUAGUAAGAUCCUGAAGCCUCUUCCUUCCAUUCCAACUGCCAAAUCCCACGAACUCCAUCAGGACCCAGAUACCCAUAAAGACUUCAUAGAAUACAUCUCCAUACAUGUAAGGCUGCUGCACAAAAGGCAAACAGCCAAUUCAGGGAAGAAUAAAUUGUUUCUGUGACCCAAGCACCAAUAAGAGUCCAUGUCUCUCCAAAAGAACAAGGGACCUACAACUAUCCAUGAAAACCCAGUGCACGGGGGCAACAACAAUUAGUAGGCGGCAAAUAACCACAAGAGGACAGUAGAACCAUGGGAAGGUCAUGCUAACCAUGUGGUCCACACAUUGAGCUUUGCUAAACCUGCUAUGACCCCAGAGCCGCAGGUUGGCCUAAUAAUACUCUGAUGCCUGAAUCAGUAUAGUUCUAUCCAGAGCCUUCUAAAGAUGCAUAGACACUGUGGUGAUAAGUGACAUUCUCUCAUGGAACUGAAACUGAGUCCAAAAGACCCAGGGCACAGUGAUAUUUAAACAGCAGAAGAGAUGGACUCAGAGCUGCAGGCUCUCCAGUCCAGAACAAAGAGAGGCAGACAUGGCCAUUCCACAAGUGAUGGGCCCUUCUGACCAGUACUUACCGAUAGAAGUGAAUCUCCUUCUUGAGCUACUGAAAUUUCUCACGAUGUUCAAUGUUGUUUGUGUCUAAGUUGUGCAGUAAUGACAUGACCUCUUUCUCCAUUAUCUUCAAUUUUUCAUAAAAUGGAUUUGGCCUGAAGUAGGGGCUGGCCCCAGAAAGAUAGAACCCAAAGAAGAUCGGUGAUUAGGAUUAUAUGAACUCAGGCUGGGUCCUGUACUACCCCAGCCCUGGAAGGACACUUUCUGAAUUCUACAUAUCUGGAUCUUCUUCAGCUUCAGAAACUUGGAAUUGUGCUCCCAGGACAACAGAAGCUAAGCACCCAACUAAAGGGUUCCCUGGCUCACUUUUUCAAUCAAGAGGGCUGGAUCUGCAUUGAAACCUAUCAAGACCAUAGGCCACAGCUCUUAUGCCAAAUCUCACACACACACACACACACACACACACACACACACACACACACACACACACACACACCCUGAAACCUCUGAUUUAAUUCUUCCUGUUUUGACAACUGGAAUGCUACAAGCUGAAUAACUAACAUUCUAGAGGCAGACAGUACACAUAAUUCUGGACAUGGGACCAGAUAUUGCCACAAACUUAUAAUCUGCCCAAGGCAUACAAAUGUACAGACAAAUGUGACCACAUAGGCAAAGAACUGUGCUGUUGAAAGUGGGGCUUCCAAAAUAAAGCACUCACACCUCCAUGAAACUAUUAUACAGGUAAAUCCUGAGGCCAAAACAGACCCCUAAAUUCCAAGUGUGGAGGGACAUAUAAACAUAUAAAAGUUGUGCAUAUGCAUGCAGACCUGUGCACACACAGACACACAAACUGGGACACACCCACAAGAAAAGAAAAGUAAACAGACUCAGAGAAUGAGAAAGAGAGUCAAAUAUGGAAAGAGCACAAUGAGAAUCACUAGAAAUGUAUGCACCAUUACUGUGUCAGAGUUUAAGGCACACAGACAAGAAAGAACAAGCCAGAGCCUCAGGACUUCUAGUUAAGCAUUGAUAUGAACAAUGUGGGACCUGUCACCUAAGGCUGCUGCCAGGAGAUGAUAGCGUUCAGUCACCUUCCUAGCAAGUACAAACACUCUCCACAAACUCACAGCACCUAAAACCUUGCAACGCUACCUCCUGUCAAGGGCUUUCCAAUUGUACCCUGGGAACACAUGCUCCAGUGACUUUAUCCCUGAAAUCUUCACUCAGAUCACAAGUUCAGAUUUUCAACAGGAGGAAUCAGAGGGUCCAUUUCCAAACUAACUCCUCAGUAAAGGUCAGGUUCUGAAUCUCCUCUCUAUGGGAGACGAGGUUUAGGACAAGGUCUUUUGGGAGGCACAGCAUUCUAGACCCCACCAUCUUAAUAGGGUAAGAUGAGAAUGAGAUUACACAGUGGUGAAUGACACAAGAGCGUUUGGAGCAAUGCAUACCUCUUGUUCACGGAUCCACCUGUCACAUAAAGGAGGCGAUCUGUCAGCUCAUUUCUCUCCUUGGUAGUUAGCUCGAGCUCUCUAACCAGCCUCUCCUCUUCCUCAUUGGCCUGCAUCUUGUUUAGGACAGUUUCAGGGGAUGACGCCUGUCUGCAGGCCUCUGUAGGUAGAAGAACACAAGUGAACCUGCAUGGGGAGAAUGCAUAGAGCAUACACAGAGCACAGUGAGGCCCAAACAGGAGAACAUGCCUGGAAGCCAGUGUCGCUGCAAGGAGUUUGGUCUAUGUGUAAGAGGCCUCCUAAGUGGAUCACAGUUCCCCCACUACUCUAUAGAGACCAAGAGAUGUAAGCAGCCAGGUGUUCCCUAUGCACGCGGACACAGACUUACAAGUACCAGAGAGAUGCCUUCUCCAGGAUUAUUAACAGCUACACAGGCUACAACCUGGUUUCAGGACCCUCACCUCUCUGGUUUCAGAAGUCAGAUCUUCAAUUCAGCAUCCACAAAGACUUGAGAGAUCAGGCAUACUCAGAUAUCCUACACUGUUACUAUAGUCCAAUAACUUUGGAUUAAAAAGUCAUGCAGGGGCAGGAAAAGGUCAACAGACUUAUCAAUUCCUCCUACUGAAAUAACAAAUGCCCCAGAAGUGCCAAUAGAUUACAGGCUCUUCUUGGUCUACCUGCUCCAAAUAGUUUGGCUACUGUAGAAAAAUAUCUGCCACACAGAACCUCUAAUGUAUGAAGGUAAGGUUGGCCCUGUCAGCAGAGGUAGUCAGAGGAGUUCUAAGAAUAUAAGGUCAUGGCCAGGAGCACAAUUCUCUCCCUUUUCCUACUGUCAGAUAGACACUGAAUUUAAAGAAGCAACGAAAGUGAAGUACAUUGAUGCCCUGGUUAAUUCAGAAAAGUUAUACCCUCCAUGACUCUGAUGGUGUUAUUAUAUCAAUUUAACAUACCAAAUGCACUGUAAAAGUAAAGGCUAGAACUUCACAGAAUAAUAGCAUAGGCAUUGCCAUAUCCUCUAUUUGGGUAUGGAGAAACUAAUGAUGUGAAAACCUUGACUUUCAGUAAUUGUGAUAAUCAUGGAAUUCAGUAUCAUUGCAGAUGUUCCAGUGGUUGUGGCCCAUUGGUAUAAAGGCCAGCUGAAGGCCCCCACACUCACCCGUGACAGGAAGCUCAACAUACACUGCCCAGAACUUACUCCACAUUCCACAUGACCACGUCCUGUGUCCAUCAUUACUUUUAGGUUUCGUUUGCUUCACUCUAGACUCUUCUCCAUCAACAUCAACUCUCCCAAAGCGCCUGUGAAGACGGGCAAACAUGCCUGUGGAUAUAUCCUUUGGACACUGAGAGAAAAAGUAGGGAAUUGGUUGUCAUGACAACACUGGUGACAUCACAGGGAUCCCAAGGACUCUCUAGGAGACAAUAGAAUGUCCACGAAGGGACGGCUGAUGUCACGGAGAACAGACUUUGCCUCCCUGCUAAUGUUCUCCCUGUACUGAGCAAAAGCUGAUGUGGCCUUUUCAGGAGACUUCCCUGUGGAAUAGCCACUGAGCACCACAUGCUUCCAAAGCCAAAUUUGGCUCUAGACUUCAUUGGAAAAACCUAAGUCAUUGCUAUGUAUCUAAAUGAGUGCUUCCUCCCCAAUCCCUGCACAGAAAUGUUUCAUCCUACCUCAAAUUAUCCUCAUUCAGCAAUGUUACUCAUUAAAGUUUACUGAGAAAUCACACCAGUUCAAAUAAAUAGCCAAAGAGGUCUCCUGUCUCAUGAUGUGCAGGUGCAUGAAAUCACACCCAGAAAUAGCUUGCAGGGUAAUUUGCAAUGUGGGUGUGUGUUAUGGGUACAACAUGAAGCUUUGUGCUUAACAUUUGACAGUUGCCACCAGAUUCCUUAGGAGAAAGAAUUGCAUUCAUUAUGGUCCUGGCAACAAUGUGGAGAUCUGUUGGCAGAGGAAACUGAAAUAUUGGAUCUACCAGUGAAUGCACCCUCAGGCUGAGUGUGGGGCUCUCCUCCUUGCACUUAAGUUACCAAAGCAGGAUUGCUUACGGCCUCUCUAAGCUCUAACAUGCGAUUCUAUCUGAAAAACAAAAUAGUCAGCAGAUGUGGGGGUGCAGCCAAAGGAGUAGGACAAGCCUAGAGACAUAACUCAGUGGACAGAGUAAGAAACGAGCAUCUUCUCUUCUGAUUCAUGGGUCAGCCCACAAAACACAAAAGCAUCUAUUAUCGUAGUAAAAAAAAACCAAGUUAUUUUAUUGAAUGCACACAAUAAUACUGAUUACAAUAUUAGUAGCAAAGCUCAGAUUUUGGGGGCAGAUCCAUGACUUGAACUAUGUUCCUGACAACAUAUAAAGCAGUAAAUAAAUAAAUAAAUAAAUAAAUAAAUAAAUAAAUAUAUAAGAAAGAAAAAAAGAAAAAGAAAAAACACAAAAAGCACAAGCUUCUCAUGUGAAGGUGCAGGAGGAGUGGUCCAGUGGUCAGUUCUCAUUAGGACAUGUUAGAUAUGACAGUGCAUAGUGACCCCUAAUUUGAUGGGUCCUAUAUAAAGUUUUGUGCCAUAUUGUCAUUUUAACAAACCUCAUCCAGUACAUACAUAACGACACAGGAUAUGAUCACCAUGUCCUUGCUGUGUAUCAAGUUAUUUUUCUGUGUCCUUCAUUGUCAGGCAUAUUACAGCAAUGAUCUGAAAUGGCUGGUAGGCUUGGAAGAAAGUGGAUAUGAAAGAUCCCCAUUUGAUAUUAGUACAGCCAUUUCUUAAGAAUGAGAACUUUUAAGCUGGCCGUUGCUUAGCCCCUAGAUGUUAGACAAUAGACCAGAAAGUACAGAAAGCACAUUCGUACCCACUCUCUACGAAGCUGCCCGACCAUAAGAACAGAGGGUAUAGAACAUAUUUACUGCAGGGCAAUUACAAGACAGGAAACAUCUCUGGGAAGCUGACUGAUUACUAUAGAAGUGAGAUGUCCUUGGUACUGAAUGCAGCUGUGCUUACAUAGGUAUAGCCUUGUCCUAGGAACUCCAGAAGAGAAACACCUGCCAAGACAGAUAUCCUUGGUCCUUGUCCUGGGAACCCCAGGAUAAGAAAACAUAUAUCAAGUCAGACGUCCUUGGUACUGAAAUAGCUGCAUUGAUGUGGUUACGGCCUUAUCCCAGGAAUUCCAGGACGAUUAACAUCUGCCUAGUUAUCCUUGACACCGAAAUAGCUGAGCUAAUGAAACUGUGUAAUCUUAAAUGACUAUUUAAGCUGUACAUUUCUGUUGUUCGAGGCUCUUCACAUCCCUCCUGUGUGAGGACCCUGUCGAGCCCCAGUGCAUUGGUAACCCAAAGUAAACCUCUUGUUUUUACAUCAAAACUGAGUCCCGUGUGUUCGUGGGGUGAUGAGUGUCCUCAGGACUGGAACGAGAGUCUCCUCUGUCUGAGGGUCUUUCAGAUAAAGCUGUAUUUGUGGGUUACACACCUCAAUUCUCAUUGGCUAAUGCUGUCCUCACAGUCCUUGGAUGCCCCUUUGUAAGAGUACAUGUUGGAAAGUGGAAGCAGCUUUAUUUGAGCUCAAAGUGAACCUGACAAGCAACGUAGAGACCAACAUGGGGUAAUUGAGGCCCUGUCUAAAACCAGCAAAGAAACCCACCCUUCAUUCAAAGCAUCAUCUACCAAUUCUUGAAUUUUUACCAUUCUCUGCUGACCAGUCUUUCAUUCAGGAAUGGUAGAAAAGAACUGGAAAUGAUCUUUGUAUUCUAAGGACCUCGAUCUGUCUUUCCUUAGGUCCAUGUUAAGAACAAAUGAAAUGGUUAUCACCAUCUGAACAACUUAGUAUCAUCUACUCAGUAUAUCUAGCCUAAUACUGUGCCUAUGGCAAUCUCAAGCUUCCCUGAGUGUUGCUGCCCCAGCAAGAAGAAUGAAGUACUAAGGUCAAACCCCAGUGAACCUUUCAAGGGGUUAGAAGAAAGCCAUCAGAGAUACUGCACUUCUUUGUCCUUAGAUUAAAUCAAGCUGAUACAACGUGAAUCUAUUGGGCUAUUUGACCAGACAUCUUUCCCCCAACCCCAACUAUCUGAGUUCAUUGCUUGGCAGAAUUCAUGCCCCACCAUCCUAGAUGUUUCUUGAUUUACUGCUGCCAAGGGCCAGGUUUCCUGAGUUUUGUUUUUUAUAGAAUUGGGUGUAAUCAAUCAUUGUUGCCCUCUAUGAUAGAUAUAGACAAAUAUCUAUAAUAACUGACCACACUGUACAAGUACACUAGUGGAAAAUUCAGCAUAACUGAGGAGUGGGAAACCAGCAUUGUGUCCUGGCCUUUCUCUGCCCAUAUCACAGCUCACAGGCGACUGGGGCAAACCUUGAGUUCCUGUGUAGAUACAGAGUGAGGUUGAAUGGACACUGAGCAGGCAGAGCAACACAGCUGAGGCAACUCAAUUCCAGCAACAAAUGCAUUAUUUGUUUCCCAUCUUAACAGCUUGUUUUGAGGUCUUGUCCCCAUACCUAGCUUAAACACAGCAAUUUUCAUACAUGCCAGCCUGCUAUUUCAUAUUGUUGCUGUAAUACGCCUCCACAUCAUAGAUUUCAAAAAAAUAUAUAUACCUAACACUGAGAAGGGUGAUGCUUGUCAACAUCUAGUGCGUUGGGGGCCCAGGUACGGUCACAAAGACACAGGGGAUGCAGAGCAAAGGCAGAUGCAACUGCAUGCAGCUGCAAGUUUAUUAACCCUUAUAUAGGCAUGAAUAUGGAUUACCUCACUUUCCCUUUUGGCAAGAUAUAAUAAGAUCGUUAUUCCCAUGAUACCAGGAACAACCGAGGCAAGACUAGGCAAAGAAGUGAGACUAAGCAAAGGCUUCUUCUUAAAAUAUCUGUAUAGCAAAUCACCCCUCUUCCUAGUAUCACAAUAUGCUUGUCAUAACCCAGAGAGCCGCUUCCACAAAAAUAGGACACAGUACAACAUAGUGUAAGGUAAAGUGAGAAAAACAUUUCCUUCUCAAGGGCAGCAUUCCAGCACCUGCUUGCAUCUCUCAGCCAUCUUUCCUUGAUCCUGUCUGGGAAGUGUAUCUCAGUGACUCCACAAUUUCUCUCUUUGUCCUUUUGUUUUAAAAGUAACACUUUCUAUAAAAUAGCUAAAUGUCCUUGAAGGGGUUUAAUCGUGCAAAAAGUAAGCAAUAUAAUAUAUAAUGUACGCAACCUUUAAUGACAGUAUCUAUUUUCUUAGGGGUAUUAUUCAGAUACCUUCCCAGAUCUGGAUUUAACUUUGGUAAUUGUUAUCUAUAUAGAAAAUCAACAAUAUCAAAUAAAUAUUUCAGUGUUCUGGCAUAAAGUCCUCGUGAGUAAGAACUAAUGAUUUUGGAAUUUGCUUUGUGUCUAUUGUUAUGUCCCUCAUUUCAUUUCUGAUUUUUAAUUCAUGUAUUGUGUCUCUUGUGCAUUGUUAGUUUGAGGAAGGGGUUGUCUCUCUUGUGGAUCUUCUCCAGAAGAAGAAGAAGAAGAAGAAGAAGAAGAAGAAGAAGAAAAAGAAGAAGAAGAAGAAGAAGAAGAAGAAGAAGAAGAAGAAGUAGAAAAGACAGCUCUUGCUUUCCUUGACUUUGUAUUUUUCUCUUUGUUUCUGAAGGCUUGAUUUCAACCCUGAGUUCAUUUCCUUUCAUCAGAUCCUACCAGACUCUCUAUGGGAUGAGGCUUUGCCUCACUUUGGGCAGGCUGGAUGAUGACAUUCAGUUGACAAUGUGGACAUCUCAAGACAGUCACUGGACAAUGGCUGACACACUUGUCUGAAGACUGGAAAUGUUUCUCUAUCUUGGAGAGGAAAGAAGGACCCUCCAACUACACUGAACUCUAAGGAAGGUUAUUCAGAUCUCAAGACUGGUUAACCCCCCAAAACUGACCCUGCUACCAGUUGACUGUGAUUAUAAAGAAGCCAACAGCCAACAGCUGCACAGCAGAGAGAUGGGGGAGAUGCUGGGAGAGAAACAUCAUCCCCUGAAACUGCCCUAAGCGAGAAGCAGGCUAAGAAGGAAAAAGAGAGGCUGAUAGAAGAGCUGCAGCUCAUUACC